AGGAACGCUAGCUACAGGCUUAACACAUGCAAGUCGAGGGUCAGCAUCAUCAAAGCUUGCUUUGAUGGAUGGCGACCGGCGCACGGGUGAGUAACACGUAUCCAACCUGCCGACAACACUGGGAUAGCCUUUCGAAAGAAAGAUUAAUACCGGAUGGCAUAGUUUUCCCGCAUGGGAUAAUUAUUAAAGAAUUUCGGUUGUCGAUGGGGAUGCGUUCCAUUAGGCAGUUGGCGGGGUAACGGCCCACCAAACCAACGAUGGAUAGGGGUUCUGAGAGGAAGGUCCCCCACAUUGGAACUGAGACACGGUCCAAACUCCUACGGGAGGCAGCAGUGAGGAAUAUUGGUCAAUGGACGAGAGUCUGAACCAGCCAAGUAGCGUGAAGGAUGACUGCCCUAUGGGUUGUAAACUUCUUUUAUACGGGAAUAAAGUGAGCCACGUGUGGCUUUUUGUAUGUACCGUAUGAAUAAGGAUCGGCUAACUCCGUGCCAGCAGCCGCGGUAAUACGGAGGAUCCGAGCGUUAUCCGGAUUUAUUGGGUUUAAAGGGAGCGUAGGCGGGUUGUUAAGUCAGUUGUGAAAGUUUGCGGCUCAACCGUAAAAUUGCAGUUGAUACUGGCGACCUUGAGUGCAACAGAGGUAGGCGGAAUUCGUGGUGUAGCGGUGAAAUGCUUAGAUAUCACGAAGAACUCCGAUUGCGAAGGCAGCUUACUGGAUUGUAACUGACGCUGAUGCUCGAAAGUGUGGGUAUCAAACAGGAUUAGAUACCCUGGUAGUCCACACAGUAAACGAUGAAUACUCGCUGUUGGCGAUAUACAGUCAGCGGCCAAGCGAAAGCAUUAAGUAUUCCACCUGGGGAGUACGCCGGCAACGGUGAAACUCAAAGGAAUUGACGGGGGCCCGCACAAGCGGAGGAACAUGUGGUUUAAUUCGAUGAUACGCGAGGAACCUUACCCGGGCUUAAAUUGCAACUGACUGAACCGGAAACGGUUCUUUCUUCGGACAGUUGUGAAGGUGCUGCAUGGUUGUCGUCAGCUCGUGCCGUGAGGUGUCGGCUUAAGUGCCAUAACGAGCGCAACCCUUACGGGUAGUUACCAUCAGGUUAUGCUGGGGACUCUACCCGGACUGCCGUCGUAAGAUGUGAGGAAGGUGGGGAUGACGUCAAAUCAGCACGGCCCUUACGUCCGGGGCUACACACGUGUUACAAUGGGGGGUACAGAAGGCAGCUACACGGCGACGUGGUGCUAAUCCCGAAAGCCUCUCUCAGUUCGGAUUGGAGUCUGCAACCCGACUCCAUGAAGCUGGAUUCGCUAGUAAUCGCGCAUCAGCCACGGCGCGGUGAAUACGUUCCCGGGCCUUGUACACACCGCCCGUCAAGCCAUGAAAGCCGGGGGUACCUAAAGUACGUAACCGCGAGGAGCGUCCUAGGG
rnacentral:rRNA from 1 species